rnacentral:rRNA from 1 species
UGGGGAAUAUUGCACAAUGGGGGAAACCCUGACGCAGCGACGCCGCGUGAACGAAGAAGGUAUUCGUAUCGUAAAGUUCUGUCCUAUGGGAAGAUAAUGACAGUACCAUAGAAGAAAGCUCCGGCUAAAUACGUGCCAGCAGCCGCGGUAAUACGUAUGGAGCGAGCGUUGUCCGGAAUUAUUGGGCGUAAAGGGUACGCAGGCGGUUUAAUAAGUCGAAUGUUAAAGAUCGGGGCUCAACCCCGCAAAGCAUUGGAAACUGAUAAACUUGAGUAGUGGAGAGGAAAGUGGAAUUCCUAGUGUAGUGGUGAAAUACGUAGAUAUUAGGAGGAAUACCAGUAGCGAAGGCGACUUUCUGGACACAAACUGACGCUGAGGUACGAAAGCGUGGGGAGCAAACAGG